rnacentral:rRNA from 1 species
GAGAGGUAACGGCUCACCAAGGCAUCGACGGGUAGCUGGUCUGAGAGGAUGAUCAGCCACACUGGAACUGAGACACGGUCCAGACUCCUACGGGAGGCAGCAGUGGGGAAUCUUGCACAAUGGGCGAAAGCCUGAUGCAGCGAUGCCGCGUGCGGGAAGAAGGCCUUAGGGUUGUAAACCGCUUUCAGGAGGGAAGAAAAUGACGGUACCUCCAGAAGAAGGUGCGGCCAACUACGUGCCAGCAGCCGCGGUGACACGUAGGCACCAAGCGUUAUCCGGAUUUAUUGGGCGUAAAGAGCUCGUAGGCGGUUUGGUAAGUCGGGUGUGAAAACUCUGGGCUCAACCCAGAGAGGCCACUCGAUACUGCUAUGACUAGAGUACGGUAGGGGAGCGGGGAAUUCCUGGUGUAGCGGUGAAAUGCGCAGAUAUCAGGAGGAACACCAGCGGCGAAGGCGCCGCUCUGGGCCGUAACUGACGCUGAGGAGCGAAAGCAUGGGUAGCAAACAGGAUUAGAUACCCUGGUAGUCCAUGCCGUAAACGUUGGGCACUAGGUGUGGGUCUCAACCAACGAGAUCCGCGCCGUCGCUAACGCAUUAAGUG